rnacentral:rRNA from 1 species
CCUACGGGAGGCAGCAGUGAGGAAUAUUGGUCAAUGGGCGCGAGUCUGAACCAGCCAAGCAGCGUGAAGGAAGACUGCCCUACGGGUUGUAAACUUCUUUUUUAAAGGAGUAAAGUGAGGCACGUGUGCCUUUUUGAAUGUACUGUAUGAAUAAGGAUCGGCUAACUCCGUGCCAGCAGCCGCGGUAAUACGGAGGAUUCGAGCGUUAUCCGGAUUUAUUGGGUUUAAAGGGAGCGUAGAUGGGUUGUUAAGUCAGUUGUGAAAGUUUGGGGCUCAACCGUAAAAUUGCAAUUGAUACUGGCAGUCUUGAGUGCAGUUGCGGUAGGCGGAAUUCGUGGUGUAGCGGUGAAAUGCUUAGAUAUCACGAAGAACUCCGAUUGCGAAGGCAGCUUACUAAACUGCCACUGACAUUGAUGCUCGAAAGUGUGGGUAGCAAACAGGAUUAGAUACCCCUGUAGUC